UACGUAGGGGGCAAGCGUUGUCCGGAAUCAUUGGGCGUAAAGAGCGUGUAGGCGGCUCGGUAAGUCCGCUGUGAAAGUCCAGGGCUCAACCCUGGAAUGCCGGUGGAAACUGUCGAGCUAGAAUCCGGAAGAGGCGAGUGGAAUUCCUGGUGUAGCGGUGAAAUGCGCAGAUAUCAGGAGGAACACCAAUGGCGAAGGCAGCUCGCUGGGACGGUAUUGACGCUGAGACGCGAAAGCGUGGAGAGCAAACAGG
rnacentral:rRNA from 1 species